rnacentral:tRNA from 1 species
GCCUACUUAGCUCAGGUGGUUAGAGCAUCCGUCUCAUACGCGGAGAGUCACUAGUUCGAAUCUAGUAGUAGGCA